AGGGCACCACCAGGAGUGGAGCCUGCGGCUUAAUUUGACUCAACACGGGAAACCUCACCAGGCCCAGACACCGGGAGGAUUGACAGAUUGAGAGCUCUUUCUUGAUUCUGUGGGUGGGGGUGCAUGGCCGUUCUUAGUUGGUGGAGCGAUUUGUCUGGUUAAUUCCCAUAACAAACAAGACUCUAGCCUGCUAAAUAGUCACAUCCGGUAUCCUCUGUGCUACCGGCGACCACCAAUCUUCUUAGAGGGACAGGCGGCUUCUAGCCGCACGAGAUUGAGCAAUAACAGGUCUGUGAUGCCCUUAUAUGUUCUGGGCCGCACGCGCGCUACACUGAAAGAAUCAGCGUGUCCUCCCUGGCCGAAAGGUCCGGGUAACCCGCUGAACCUCCUUCGUGCUAGGGAUUGGGGCUUGCUAUUGUUCCCCAUGAACGAGGAAUUCCCAGUAAGCGCGAGUCAUAAGCUCGCGUUGAUUACGUCCUUGCCCUUUGUACACACCGCCCCCCGUUUCUACUGAUGAAU
rnacentral:rRNA from 1 species